rnacentral:lncRNA from 1 species
AUGACAGGCGACGGGAACAGGCCACGCGGGCUGGUGCGAUCUGCAGCGGUGAUGUUGCUCCUUUUUUCUUUGGCCCCGAGUUUAAAUUGUUUCAGCGUGAGGGGACUGGGCAAAAACGCUCACCAGGACACGACGGACGGCGCAGCUGCAGUGACUAGAGGACGGAUCGGACACAUUAUAUUUGGGAACGCGAACAUACCGCCGUGGUCUUCCUUUGAAGGUAACGGCGGAUCGGCGCAUGUUGACUUGCCCCAGGCUGACGGCACAGGGGCGCUGGGACAGAGCUGGCAGCAGCUGAGCCCCCAAGAAGCCGCAUGGCGGCGCUUGAAUCCCAGCCUGUCCUGCGGCGCGACCAGGAUGAAGCUGAGGGCCAUGGGACCGGGAGCCGCCAAUCUACAGCUGGACAUGGGCCAGGUCAACGGCGUCGCGCGCAGCCUCCCUCUGAUCCACGUGCCCAGGUCUUGCGGCUACACGAUGCGACAGAAUGCGCUUGGUCUGGUUUUGCUGGUUCCCUAUGACGGCUGCGGUGUGACUCAACAGAAUGGAAACUACGUGCUGCCAAUGAGUUGGCAGCAAAAUCCAGUUAAACUCGCCUGCCCGACGUUGCAGAACGACCCAACAGUUCCUCAAACUACGGCUGCAACCACCACCACCACCACAUCACCGCCAACCACAGUACCUCCUACCUAUCCUUUCCAAAACUUCCCUUAUGACCCGUUGUAUUCUCAAUUCCAGUGGGCACAGCAAUGGCCGCCGGCCGAUGCGACUACUUCUCAGCCCACCACCACCCCCACAACGGUGCCGCCUGCGAUGAAUCCUGCAGUAAAUCCCAAUUAUCCACCCUACUUCUAUCCUCCCCCUAAUUGGCCACAGCAAUCUCUGUACGUGGUGCCGCCGGCCAAUCCUGCUCCAACAACUCCACCUACGACUCCUGCUCAGCCAGCCACAAUGCCGCCCCCUGCUGUGAAUCCCAACUAUCCACCCUUUCCUUAUCUGCCUUAUUAUUCUCCCCUUUCUUGGCCACAGCCCAUGCUGGCACCAGCCACUACCCCUGAUGCCGCUACUACGCCACCGACCACAAGCACAGAGCCAACCUCAACUACGGAGUCAACCACAAAUGCCCCACCCACAGUGAACCCUCCUAUGGAUGAAUACCUGUACUACCAAUAUCCAUAUUUUUGGUUUGGCCCCCCCUCAAGUCUUGACGCUGCAGGAGGUGCUGCACCAGCAGGCGGCGCUGCAGCAGGAGGUCCAGUUGCUGCACCAGCAGACGCUGCAGUUGUUACGGCACCUGCAGAAACUACUACAAUGCCGCCCACGACGACUCCUCCCUCUACUGAAAUGCCUACUCAGCCAUCACUCCCAGCAGACUACCCUAACUAUCAGUACUACCCAUCUGGAUUCCCUGGUCAGCCUGGACUUUACUACCCACUCAAUUACCCUCAAUACCCACAAAGUCCCACAGAUUGUGCCAUGCAAAGUGACACGAGUGCCUCAUGUCCCAACAAAAUGCCCGGCAGUAGCAGCUACUUUGACUUGAGUGCCUAUUACCCAUACAGCUGGAAUCCCUUUCUUCACUACCCAUGGCACAGAAACAAGCACUUUCCGUCUUCCUGGAGAUACAGGAUUCCUGCUGGCUACCUACCUGGAGUCCAAAGUCUUGUACAGCCAUACCCAGGGUUUUUGUACCCACAACCUAUGCCCUGGUUUUCCUACCCUGGCCAACAGAUGUCUCAAGGAGUGUGAUGUCCAACUGGAGCUGAGACUUUUCAAUAAAUGUCUUACUGAAAAUGAUUCUUGUUUCA